GAUGAACGCUGGCGGCGUGCCUAAUACAUGCAAGUCGAGCGAACGGACGAGGAGCUUGCUUUUCUGAUGUUAGCGGCGGACGGGUGAGUAACACGUGGAUAACCUACCUAUAAGACUGGGAUAACUUCGGGAAACCGGAGCUAAUACCGGAUAAUAUUUUGAACCGCAUGGUUCAAAAGUGAAAGACGGUUUUGCUGUCACUUAUAGAUGGAUCCGCGCUGCAUUAGCUAGUUGGUAAGGUAACGGCUUACCAAGGCAACGAUGCGUAGCCGACCUGAGAGGGUGAUCGGCCACACUGGAACUGAGACACGGUCCAGACUCCUACGGGAGGCAGCAGUAGGGAAUCUUCCGCAAUGGGCGAAAGCCUGACGGAGCAACGCCGCGUGAGUGAUGAAGGUCUUCGGAUCGUAAAACUCUGUUAUUAGGGAAGAACAUAUGUGUAAGUAACUGUGCACAUCUUGACGGUACCUAAUCAGAAAGCCACGGCUAACUACGUG
rnacentral:rRNA from 1 species